UACGUAGGGGGCGAGCGUUGUCCGGAUUCAUUGGGCGUAAAGAGCUCGUAGGCGGCUUGGCAAGGCGGGUGUGAAAACUUCAGGCUCAACCUUCAGAGGUCGACCGAAACCAUCUGGCUAGAGUCCGGGAGAGGAGAGUGGAAUUCCUGGUGUAGCGGUGAAAUGCGCAGAUAUCAGGAAGAACACCCGUGGCGAAAGCGGCUCUCUGGAACGGUACUGACGCUGAGACGCGAAAGCGUGGGGAGCGAACAGG
rnacentral:rRNA from 1 species